GCGCUCACUUCGGCAGCACAUACCCUAAUAUUGGAAAGACACAGAGAAGAUUAGCAUGGACUCUGUGCAAGGAUGACAUGCAAAUCGUGAAGCGUUCCAUAUUUUU